rnacentral:sRNA from 1 species
GCGGCGCGAGUUCCCUGCUCACCCUCCCUCUCCGCGGAAGUCCCCACGAGGUGGCUUCAGGGUGUAACAGAGCGCGCGGCUCCAGUCCGAAGGCAGCGGCCGGGGGAGGGAAGGAGGGGACCGAACCCCCGAGGAGUUUCCCAGAAUCAACUUCUGGUUAGAGUUAUGGGAAGCGCGGUUAUGGACACCAAGAAGAAAAAAGAUGUUUCCAGCCCCGGCGGGAGCGGCGGCAAGAAAAAUGCCAGCCAGAAGAGGCGUUCGCUGCGCGUGCACAUUCCGCACUCUCAACGCCCUGCGAGCGCCGACGGUUGGAUGGAGGGAGGGUCGCCCGGAUUCACCCCCAGCUGCCAUCCCCGUGGGCCAGCACUGCCUCUUUCUCUCCCUCUUCUUCCACCUUAUCUUCCUGUCCACUUUCCCCCUUUCCUUCCCCCAUAAUUGACCCCAAUGUGGAAUUGAGGGUCAUUUCAAAAUAUUUCUGAUACUAUUUGAAGAAAAUAAACUUUAUCU